AGCUGGCAGCAGGAAGUGGCUGCCAUUGACAGCCGGAAGGCAGUAACUGGCAGCCGGAAAGUAGGCGGGACCUGCCACUCAGUGGCAGACAAUCAGUAUCGACCAACGUGGGCGCAACCAAUCAGAUAUAACUGCACCCAAAUGCUUCAGUAAUGUUUGCGAUUGAUCAAGCGUUGCCAGAUGCUGUCCUGUUGGAAAUUCUUCUUUAUGUGAUCCUGGAGGAGGGUGGUGCUACAUUAAGUCUGUCUUUGGUUUGUUCCAAAUUCAGAAGUCUGUUGUAUACAGACUCCUUUCGAAUGAGGGCACAAAUCAGCUGGCUUGACGGUGUAUUUUCUUUUACAUAUUUGAUUAGAGGUUUAAAAUAGUGCCAUAACAUUAAAUUUCUCAGUUGCCAUGUCUGAAUGUUUAUCUUUGUAAUAAUGCUGUUUUUUGCUCCUCAUCUCAAUAUACAGGUGUAACAAAAUGGAGAACAAGUCUAAGCCAUGACAGGAAUUCUUCAAAAUGUACACCCUGCAGACACUGCGACGAGGUUUACAACAACUGCUUACCAGGUCCCUGCCGUCAUCCGGAUCCAGUACAUAUCUAGACCAGAUGGUGGAUCAGCACCUAGAGAGAACCUCUACAGCCCUGAAAGACAGCAGAGACCAGGACAACUAAAGCCCCAGAUAAAGAUCCCCUGUAAAGACCUUGUUUUUUCUCCAUUCUGUCACCGAUGGAGUUUUGGUUCCUUGUUGCCUCUGGCUUGCUUUGUUGUGGUCACUUCAUUAACAGCGAUAUCAUUGACAUGAUUGCAUAUGAUUCCACAGAUACUAUUUAAACUGAACCGAGCUGAAGGAUGACAUCACUGAAUUCAAUGAUAAACUGUGAUAAACUGAGUGUUUACUAAUGUCCUUCUGCAUUAUUGACUGACACAAUUUUCCUAUUUAAUACUGUAAAGUUGCUUUGCUUUGAUCUGUAUUAUUAAAAGCACUUUAUAAAUAAAGGAGGCUUGACUUGA